GAUGAACGCUGGCGGCGUGCCUAAUACAUGCAAGUCGAGCGAACAGACGAGGAGCUUGCUCCUCUGACGUUAGCGGCGGACGGGUGAGUAACACGUGGAUAACCUACCUAUAAGACUGGGAUAACUUCGGGAAACCGGAGCUAAUACCGGAUAAUAUAUUGAACCGCAUGGUUCAAUAGUGAAAGACGGUUUUGCUGUCACUUAUAGAUGGAUCCGCGCGGCAUUAGCUAGUUGGUAAGGUAACGGCUUACCAAGGCAACGAUGCGUAGCCGACCUGAGAGGGUGAUCGGCCACACUGGAACUGAGACACGGUCCAGACUCCUACGGGAGGCCGCAGUAGGGAAUCUUCCGCAAUGGGCGAAAGCCUGACGGAGCAACGCCGCGUGAGUGAUGAAGGUCUUCGGAUCGUAAAACUCUGUUAUUAGGGAAGAACAAAUGUGUAAGUAACUAUGCACGUCUUGACGGUACCUAAUAAGAAAGCAACGGCUAACUACGUG
rnacentral:rRNA from 1 species